rnacentral:misc_RNA from 1 species
AACCAUAGAAACCUGCGGAGUACCUGCGGAAGGAUCAUUGCCACACACGAUCCAAGAUCGACACUUUAAUUUGUGAACUGUUAUUGUUAUUUAUCACCCUUUUCGUUUAGCGGAUGUGCACACUUAUGUGUGUUGUGUCUGUUAUUCUGUGGAGGGGUGAUACUAUUUCAAACACCUUAAAAAACAUGUGAACUAGUACAUUGGAACUAAAAUAGUCAACAUAAGUUCGUCUUGUGUUUU